ACAGCCUCACACCCAGGGCACAACCCCCAGGGCCUAAGCUUUCCCGAAGCUGGCACUUGCCUUUACCCAAGGAAGCACUGAAAGCCUCUCAGUCACACCCCAAAGUCGUGGGUCGGCACCUCAGCGGGGUGGGGGGGUCCUUAGCCAGCAGGGGGCUCACACUCUCAGCAGUUCCAGCUCUGCACCCUGGCCUCAUAUCUGGGGCACCCUCUGGACUCGCGUCUCCUCUGCGAAGGGGUGCCCCCACACCUGCCCCGUCUUCAGCAGACUCUGCACCGGCUGGAGCCAAGGGUCCUGGCCCAGCCCCCUGGCUUGAUGGGUGGAUGCUUCUGGGCCACCCACCAAGGCUGCUCCCUCAGGCCCAGCUUCCAGAGAAGCAGCCUACACAACUCAGCCUCAGUGCCGGGAGUCCCCGAAGCCCAGGCCCACGAGAGCCCCAGAGGGUAUGAGAUGCGUCGGUAAUGCCAUCACCGGACAGGCCCAGGCCCCGGCCGCAGAACUGGGACGUGUUUCUCCAAGGAAUGACCAGCGGAGAUCAAAAGGGCCGAACUUAGGACGCUUUUCAUCGGGAGGGAAAGACACUUGAGACAUUAAAGGGGAGCUUCUUGGAGGACGAGGCCUGGGGGCUGAGGGUGGCUGUUUUAGGCCAUGUCCACAGGGACCAUACUGGGCCUACCACCGAUGAGGGGCCCAGGGCCCAGCUGACGUCAGACUCCAGGACUGACCACAGAUCCCCAGCGGCGCCCCGGAGAAGCCCUCUGAGGGACUCGCUGUGAGCCAGGGAGCCUUGCAUCUGGGGUUGUGGCUAGACCAGACCCGAGGUGGCUGCCUGCAGGGGACGUCCAGGGAGACACUCAGGCCCCCAGGGCAGAUUCCUCUUCCGUAGGUGAGGCGGAGCUGAGGUCCGGGAGAGCCCCGCCCGCCUCGCUCCGGACAUGCUCCCCCGCCCCUCGCCCUUUCCCAGCCACUCCUCCCUGCGGAGCUGGGGGGACAUGGGUUCCCCACGGUGAGAUG
rnacentral:lncRNA from 1 species